AGAGUUUGAUCCUGGCUCAGGACGAACGCUGGCGGCGUGCUUAACACAUGCAAGUCGAGCGGAAAGGCCUUUCGGGGUACUCGAGCGGCGAACGGGUGAGUAACACGUGAGUAACCUGCCCUGGACUUUGGGAUAACCCUCGGAAACGGGGGCUAAUACCGGAUACGACACACUGACGCAUGUUGUGUGUGUGGAAAGUUUUUCGGUCUGGGAUGGGCUCGCGGCCUAUCAGCUUGUUGGUGGGGUGAUGGCCUACCAAGGCGACGACGGGUAGCCGGCCUGAGAGGGCGACCGGCCACACUGGGACUGAGACACGGCCCAGACUCCUACGGGAGGCAGCAGUGGGGAAUAUUGCACAAUGGGCGGAAGCCUGAUGCAGCGACGCCGCGUGAGGGAUGACGGCCUUCGGGUUGUAAACCUCUUUCAGCAGGGACGAAGCGCAAGUGACGGUACCUGCAGAAGAAGCGCCGGCCAACUACGUGCCAGCAGCCGCGGUAAGACGUAGGGCGCGAGCGUUGUCCGGAUUUAUUGGGCGUAAAGAGCUCGUAGGCGGCUUGUCGCGUCGACCGUGAAAACUUGGGGCUCAACCCCAAGCCUGCGGUCGAUACGGGCAGGCUCGAGUUCGGUAGGGGAGACUGGAAUUCCUGGUGUAGCGGUGAAAUGCGCAGAUAUCAGGAGGAACACCGGUGGCGAAGGCGGGUCUCUGGGCCGAUACUGACGCUGAGGAGCGAAAGCGUGGGGAGCGAACAGGAUUAGAUACCCUAGUAGUCC
rnacentral:rRNA from 1 species